CGCAAAGCAAAGAUUAUCUUCAUCAACCGGAGGGUUCCUCCCCUCUUCUAUUCUCCUGUGCUUUAGCUUUCUGCAAUCAAUGUUUUGUUUUCUCCGCAAAACAAUCCCUUUCCGAAGGCUUAUUGUUUUCGGCACAAUUUCUCCGGAGACUAUACUUCCGGAAUUGCUUUGUUUUCAACGCCAAUGGUUAUCUGCGAGGUACUGUAAUUCAGUCGCAUCAAAUAGGCAUUCUUUCACUGUCUCGUAUCUCAUUGACACAUGUGGCUUCUCACCACAAGAAGCUGCUUCAGUUUCUAAGCUCGUCAGCUUCGAAUCGCGAGAUAAGCCAGAUUUGGUUAUCAAUUUCUUCAAGAGUCAAGGACUCACUAAACCCCAGAUUCAUCGUUUUGUUAGAGAGCUCCCAAGACUUCUUCGAUCAGAUCCUCAGAAAACCUUAGUGCCCAAGAUUGAGUUUCUUGUAUCCAAUGGCGUUUCGAUCUCAGACAUCCCUAAGCUCCUAUGUAGUUGCCCUAGCAUCAUGGUGAGAAGCUUAAGUAAGCAGAUCAUUCCUUCCUUUCAUUUCUUUCGAGAUUUGUUUCAAUCUGACGCCAAACUCAUUCAAGUUGUCACAAAUUUCUCGGGUAUUCUUCUUGAUUUAAACAGCCGUUCCAUGCCUAAUAUGAAGUUGUUAAGAGAAGCAGGAGUUCCUGAAUCAAAUGUCAUAAAACUGUUACAAUAUUUUCCUUCGGUAAUAACCAAAAGUUGUGUUCGAUUUGAGGAGAUUGUGAAGGAAGUGAAGGAACUGGGUGUUAAUCCUGGGCAGGUAAACUUUGUUUUGGCCGUUUCUGUAUUGGCAUCAGCAAGCAAAUCCACUUGGGGAAAAAAAGUUGAUGUUUAUAAGAAGUGGGGUUGGUCGGAGGAUGACAUUCUUGCAGCAUUUAGGAAGUAUCCAUUCAUCAUGAAGGCAUCAAAAGAUAAGAUCGAUGCAGUGAUGGAUUUUUUGGUCAACAAAUUAGGAUGUGAAUCUUCCAUCGUUGCUAAAUAUCCAGGGGUUAUCUCGUUCAGUAUGAAGCGGAGAUUUUUGCCAAGAGGUGCUGUGAUUAAGAUUUUAUUGUCUAAGGGUCUCGUGCAAAAGGAGAGCUUGCCACUGCUAUUUAUGUACCCUGAAAGCACGUUUCUGAGAAGGUUUAUCAUGAGUAACCUGAAGGAGGAAGCUACUCAAUUAUUGAAGCUGUAUCAGGGCAAAUUGAAGCUGGCAAGGUGAAUGAAGAAUGGGAAAAGCUUACAGGUAUAUGCAAGCAUUUGGCGUGGGCUCUUUGGAAGACAAUUGGUCUUUUCAGUCACCCGCAACAAUUUUUUCUUCCUCCUUUAUUACUUAAUCUUCCCCCAUGGCAGAAUUUCUUGUUAUUGAUAUUGGGCGAUGUGGGAAUUUAAACAAUAGUUACAAUGGCAGCUCCCUGCUUAUGAGUCUCAUUCCAGGCACUGUAUGAAACAAGGGCUUUAGUUAAGAUUAUCCCCAUCAAUUGGUAAAAUAAAGAAUGAUUACAAUAUUCGAGCAUGGAGCCUCCUAAAAACUUUCCCCAGCUUACUAUAAAUUAGCUAACUCAUAAGAACAAUGUCGCAGAGCAUCAAAUGCAAACACUGAUGGAAGGAAUCAGACAUCUCCCCAUCAAGAAUUGGAAUGUCACUUCCGCUUUUGGAGGUUAACAAAUGUGCUAAUUGGAUUGUGAGCUUAGCUCAUGACAUUGAGGAUCAAUAUACUGUUUUUCUGAUCCUGCCCUUACUAUGUUGGACUGGAAUAGAGAUUAUUUGAGUACGUAGUGUACUAUGUUUGUUGUUUUGUUCUCUGUUUUUUUUUUUCCCAUUCAAAUUAAAGGGAUUGUAUUAAUAGUAAAGUGUUAUGAACGUGACCAAAUGCAACCUCUCACUAAUAAGAAAGCAUUCAUGCCACUAGAAUAUAAAGUCUUUGACUUCUUAA